rnacentral:rRNA from 1 species
AUUGAACGCUGGCGGCAGGCAUAACACAUGCAAGUCGAGCGGAGCGGCGGACGGGUGAGUAAUGCCUAGGAAUCUGCCUGGUAGUGGGGGAUAACGUCCGGAAACGGGCGCUAAUACCGCAUACUAUCAGAUGAGCCUAGGUCGGAUUGGCUAGGUGGUGGGGUAAAGGCCUACCAAGGCGACUAUCCGUAACUGGUCUGAGAGGAUGAUCAGUCACAUUGGAACUGAGACACGGUCCAGACUCCUCGGGGAGGCAGCAGUGGGGACUAUUGGACAAUGGGCGAAAGCCUGUUACAGCCAUGCCGCGUAUGUGAAGAAGGUCUUCGGAUUGUAAAGCACUUUAAGUAGGGUGGCGUUACUAACAGAAUAAGCACCGGCUAACUUCUUGCCAGCAGCCGCGGUAAUAC